rnacentral:rRNA from 1 species
GACGAACGCUGGCGGCGUGCUUAACACAUGCAAGUCGAACGGUAAGGCCCUUCGGGGUACACGAGUGGCGAACGGGUGAGUAACAUGUGGGUGAUCUGCCCUGCACUUCGGGAUAAGCCUGGGAAACUGGGUCUAAUACCGGAUAGGACUCCGGACUGCAUGGUCUGGGGUGGAAAGCUUUUGCGGUGUGGGAUGGGGCCGCGGCCGAUCAGCUUGUUGGUGGGGUGAUGGCCUACCAAGGCGACGAGGGGUAGCCGGCCUGAGAGGGUGACCGGCCACACUGGGACUGAGAUACGGCCCAGACUCCUACGGGAGGCAGCAGUGGGGAAUAUUGCACAAUGGGCGCAAGCCUGAUGCAGCGACGCCACGUGAGGGAUGACGGCCUUCGGGUUGUAAACCCCUUUCAGCAUCGACGAAGCGAAAGUGACGGUAGGUGCAGAAGAAGGACCGGCCAACUACGUGCCAGCCGCCGCGGUAA